AAUCUUAUAAUUUAAAAUAAAAUAUUAAAUUGCAAAUUUAAAAAUAUAGAAACUAUUAAGAUUU
rnacentral:tRNA from 1 species